rnacentral:rRNA from 1 species
UACUCCUACGGGAGGCAGCAGUGGGGAAUAUUGGACAAUGGACCGAGAGUCUGAUCCAGCAAUUCUGUGUGCACGAUGAAGUUUUUCGGAAUGUAAAGUGCUUUCAGUUGGGAAGAAAGAAAUGACGGUACCAACAGAAGAAGUGACGGCUAAAUACGUGCCAGCAGCCGCGGUAAUACGUAUGUCACGAGCGUUAUCCGGAUUUAUUGGGCGUAAAGCGCGUCUAGGUGGUUAUGUAAGUCUGAUGUGAAAAUGCAGGGCUCAACUCUGUAUUGCGUUGGAAACUGUAUAACUAGAGUACUGGAGAGGUAAGCGGAACUACAAGUGUAGAGGUGAAAUUCGUAGAUAUUUGUAGGAAUGCCGAUGGGGAAGCCAGCUUACUGGACAGAUACUGACGCUGAAGCGCGAAAGCGUGGGUAGCAAACAGGAUUAGAUACCCUGGUAGUCCACGCCGUAAACGAUGAUUACUAGGUGUUGGGGGUCGAACCUCAGCGCCCAAGCAAACGCGAUAAGUAAUCCGCCUGGGGAGUACGUACGCAAGUAUGAAACUCAAAUGAAUUGACGGA